UGUGUAUUUCUACUCAAGGUAGUCAUGUAUUCUGCUGCUCUAUGUGCUUGCAUAUCUGGUGAGACCUAGACUCCUUAGCAAAGGCUAUAGUGCCAUUAUCUUUGCAGUAUAGUGUCACGAUAUCUGAUGGCAUGACAUCUAAUUCUGCAACUAAUUUUAGAACCAGAAUGCAUCCUACACAUCUACAGUGUACUCAGCUUCUAUUGAUCG
rnacentral:lncRNA from 1 species